rnacentral:rRNA from 1 species
GACGAACGCUGGCGGCGUGCUUAACACAUGCAAGUCGAGCGGUAAGGCCCUUUCGGGGGUACACGAGCGGCGAACGGGUGAGUAACACGUGGGUGACCUGCCUUUAGCUCUGGGAUAAGCCUGGGAAACUGGGUCUAAUACCGGAUAUGACCCUAUGGCGCAUGUUGUGGGGUGGAAAGCCUUGUGCGGCUAGGGAUGGGCCCGCGGCCUAUCAGCUUGUUGGUGGGGUGAUGGCCUACCAAGGCGACGACGGGUAGCCGGCCUGAGAGGGCGACCGGCCACACU